GGGGGAUAUUGCGCAAUGGGGGCAACCCUGACGCAGCAACGCCGCGUGAAGGAUGAAGGUUUUCGGAUUGUAAACUUCUUUUAUUAAGGACGAAACUUGACGGUACUUAAUGAAUAAGCUCCGGCUAACUACGUGCCAGCAGCCGCGGUAAUACGUAGGGAGCAAGCGUUGUCCGGAUUUACUGGGUGUAAAGGGUGCGUAGGCGGCUUUGCAAGUCAGAUGUGAAAUCUAUGGGCUCAACCCAUAAACUGCAUUUGAAACUGUAGAGCUUGAGUGAAGUAGAGGCAGGCGGAAUUCCCCGUGUAGCGGUGAAAUGCGUAGAGAUGGGGAGGAACACCAGUGGCGAAGGCGGCCUGCUGGGCUUUAACUGACGCUAAGGCACGAAAGCGUGGGUAGCAAACAGGAUUAGAUACCCUGGUAGUCCACGCUGUAAACGAUGAUUACUAGGUGUGGGGGGUCUGACCCCUUCCGUGCCGGAGUUAACACAAUAAGUAAUCCACCUGGGGAGUACGGCCGCAAGGUUGAAACUCAAAGGAAUUGACGGGGGCCCGCACAAGCAGUGGAGUAUGUGGUUUAAUUCGAAGCAACGCGAAGAACCUUACCAGGUCUUGACAUCCAACUAACGAAGUAGAGAUACAUUAGGUGCCCUUCGGGGAAAGUUGAGACAGGUGGUGCAUGGUUGUCGUCAGCUCGUGUCGUGAGAUGUUGGGUUAAGUCCCGCAACGAGCGCAACCCUUGCUAUUAGUUGCUACGCAAGAGCACUCUAAUAGGACUGCCGUUGACAAAACGGAGGAAGGUGGGGACGACGUCAAAUCAUCAUGCCCCUUAUGACCUGGGCUACACACGUACUACAAUGGAUGUUAACAGAGGGAAGCAAGACAGCGAUGUGGAGCAAACCCCUAAAAACAUUCUCAGUUCAGAUUGCAGGCUGCAACCCGCCUGCAUGAAGAUGGAAUUGCUAGUAAUCGCGGAUCAGCAUGCCGCGGUGAAUACGUUCCCG
rnacentral:rRNA from 1 species